AGAAAAAUAAGCUAAAAUGCAAGCUUACAGGUUCAUACCCUGUCCAUGGAAUUUAUUCCUUUUUCUA
rnacentral:tRNA from 1 species